GCAACCUGCCCCGAAGACCGGGAUAACACCGGGAAACCGGUGCUAAUACCGGAUGUCCCCACCGGGUCGCAUGGCCUGGUGAGGAAGUGGAUUCCGCUUCGGGAGGGGCUCGCGGCCUAUCAGCUAGUUGGUGGGGUAACGGCCUACCAAGGCAUCGACGGGUAGCUGGUCUGAGAGGACGAUCAGCCACACUGGGACUGAGACACGGCCCAGACUCCUACGGGAGGCAGCAGUGGGGAAUCUUGCGCAAUGGGCGAAAGCCUGACGCAGCAACGCCGCGUGAGGGACGAAGGCCUUCUGGGUUGUAAACCUCUUUCAGCAGGGACGAUGAUGACGGUACCUGCAGAAGAAGCCCCG
rnacentral:rRNA from 1 species